AGGACCGUGCACAGAGCUAAGUACGAGCAAGUGAGCGGGAAAUAAGAACACGCAUCCACUGCGGUUGUACGAGCAGGUUAGCAAAGGCUACCCACGGAAACGAUGGAGACACGCGAGGCCUUUCACACUGCCCGUCCACUCAGCGCAGAAUGCUUCGUGGCUAAGGCGCCAUUUCCCGCCUCUGCUCAGGCUCUGCGAGGCAGAUACCCGUAUGGAGCAGACACACCCCCUCACCUCGCAAACACCGGCCAGCGGCAGCGGCAGCGCUCGCCUCCGGCUCCGCUCCGCGCGUUCAUGCACGUACAGGACAGAACAACAACAAACAAAUCCCCAUCGGCAACAAUGGAUGCAUACACGUUCCUCUGUGUACAACCUUAAUACUCCAUUUCACUACUGAAGACCCAUCAUUGUCUCCACAUCUAGAUGAACUCUCAAGCACAACUGACAUGAAGCAUUACCUUUAAUAAAUUUAAAUUACAUUCAAUGUGCCUUUUUCCAUGAGAAAUCAACUUUCCUGGCUGCACAGACAACUAUUUUUAUCUUUCCUAUUUCCCUACAGAUGAGGAAAAGGGUUUCCUCAAUGCAAAUGGGAACAGAUCAACUACAUUAUGUACAAGAGACCUCAUUCAUGGAAGCAUGUUUACAGUAUGUCAGUCCCCUAUGUGCUUGGUUUACCUUCGCACACCGCAGAGGGGAACUAACAUCGCUCUAAGUAUUGCUUAGGCAUCAUUAUUUUGCUCAGUUCUGAUGUCAAGAAAAAAAGUUUCAAAUACAUGCAAUAGCAUUAAUAAAAACUGAUUGUGGAGCACUUUCAAGUGUCUGUCACAAAGAAAUAAACUGAUUUAAUAGGCCAUGAGAAGAGUCCUUGGCAUUUGUAUUGUUUUC